AAUACAUAAAAAGCGGCCAAGUGCGAGUCGGACUCGCUCAUGAAGGGUUCCGCGAUUUAUGACGUAUUAAAAAAAAACUACUUACUAGAUCUCGUUCAAACCAAUUUUCGGUGGAAGUUUGCAUGGUAAUGUAUAUCAUAUAUUUUUUUUUAGUUUUAUUAUUCUCUUAUUUUAGAAGUUACAGGGGGGGGGGACACACAUUUUACCACUUUGGAAGUGUCUCUCGCGCAAACUAUUCAGUUUAGAAAAAUUUUUUAUUAGAAACCUCAAUAUCAUUUUUGAAGACCUAUCCAUAGAGACCCCACACGUAUGGGUUUGAUGAAAAAAAAUUUUUUGAGUUUCAGUUCUAAGUA